rnacentral:rRNA from 1 species
UACGUAGGGUGCAAGCGUUAAUCGGAAUUACUGGGCGUAAAGCGUGCGCAGGCGGUUAUAUAAGACAGUUGUGAAAUCCCCGGGCUCAACCUGGGAACUGCAUCUGUGACUGUAUAGCUAGAGUACGGUAGAGGGGGAUGGAAUUCCGCGUGUAGCAGUGAAAUGCGUAGAUAUGCGGAGGAACACCGAUGGCGAAGGCAAUCCCCUGGACCUGUACUGACGCUCAUGCACGAAAGCGUGGGGGAGCAAAC